GACGAACGCUGGCGGCGUGCCUAAUACAUGCAAGUCGAGCGCAGGAAGCUGACGGAACUCUUCGGAGGGAAGGCAGUGGAAUGAGCGGCGGACGGGUGAGUAACACGUAAGGAACCUGCCUCAAGGAUUGGGAUAACUCCGAGAAAUCGGAGCUAAUACCGGAUAGUUCAACGGACCGCAUGGUCCGCUGAUGAAAGGCGCUCCGGCGUCACCUUGAGAUGGCCUUGCGGUGCAUUAGCUAGUUGGUGGGGUAACGGCCCACCAAGGCGACGAUGCAUAGCCGACCUGAGAGAGUGAUAGGCCACACAGGGACUGGGACACGGCCCAGACUCCUACGGGAGGCAGCAGUAGGGAAUCUUCCACAAUGGACGAAAGUCUGAUGGAGCAACGCCGCGUGGGUGAUGAAGGUUUUCGGAUCGUAAAACUCUGUUGUAAGGGAAGAACACGUACGAGAGGAAAUGCUCGUACCUUGACGGUACCUUACGAGAAAGCCACGGCUAACUACGUGCCAGCCGCCGCGGUAA
rnacentral:rRNA from 1 species